rnacentral:rRNA from 1 species
GUCGAGAAUCUUUCACAAUGGGGGCAACCCUGAUGGAGCGACGCCGCGUGGAGGAUAAGGUCUUCGGAUUGUAAACUCCUGUCAUGCGUGAACAAGGUUGCUUGGUUAAUACCUGGGCAAAUUGAUGGUAACGCAAGAGGAAGAGACGGCUAACUCUGUGCCAGCAGCCGCGGUAAUACAGAGGUCUCAAGCGUUGUUCGGAAUCACUGGGCGUAAAGGGUGCGUAGGUGGCGUGGUAAGUCAGAUGUGAAAGCCCGGGGCUCAACCUCGGAACUGCAUCCGAUACUGCCAUGCUAGAGUACUGGAGAGGUGACUAGAAUUCUCGGUGUAGCAGUGAAAUGCGUAGAUAUCGAGAGGAAUACCAAAGGCGUAGGCAGGUCACUGGACAGUUACUGACACUGAGGCACGAAGGCCAGGGGAGCGAACAGGAUUAGAAACCCCUGUAGUCC